GGGAAACGUUACUGAUAAUACUGGAUAAGUUAGUAUAUCGCAUGAUAUGCAAAAUGAAAGCUACGGCACUAAAGGAGAGCUUUGCGUCCUAUUAGCUAGUUGGUAAGGUAAGAGCUUACCAAGGCGAUGAUAGGUAGCCGGCCUGAGAGGGUGGACGGCCACAAGGGGACUGAGAUACGGCCCUUACUCCUACGGGAGGCAGCAGAG
rnacentral:rRNA from 1 species